rnacentral:rRNA from 1 species
UAUAAGGGAAUAAAGUGAGUCUCGUGAGACUUUUUGCAUGUACCUUAUGAAUAAGGACCGGCUAAUUCCGUGCCAGCAGCCGCGGUAAUACGGAAGGUCCGGGCGUUAUCCGGAUUUAUUGGGUUUAAAGGGAGCGUAGGCCGGAGAUUAAGCGUGUUGUGAAAUGUAGACGCUCAACGUCUGCACUGCAGCGCGAACUGGUUUCCUUGAGUACGCACAAAGUGGGCGGAAUUCGUGGUGUAGCGGUGAAAUGCUUAGAUAUCACGAAGAACUCCGAUUGCGAAGGCAGCUCACUGGAGCGCAACUGACGCUGAAGCUCGAAAGUGCGGGUAUCGAACAGGAUUAGGUACCCUGGUAGUCCGCACGGUAAACGAUGGAUGCCCGCUGUUGGUCUGAAUAGGUCAGCGGCCAAGCGAAAGCAUUAAGCAUCCCACCUGGGGAGUACGCCGGCAACGGUGCAACUCAAAGGAAUUGACGGA